rnacentral:rRNA from 1 species
UACGAAGGGGCUAGCGUUGCUCGGAAUUACUGGGCGUAAAGCGCACGUAGGCGGAUUGUUAAGUCGGGGGUGAAAUCCUGGAGCUCAACUCCAGAACUGCCUUCGAUACUGGCGAUCUCGAGUUCGGGAGAGGUGAGUGGAACUGCGAGUGUAGAGGUGAAAUACGUAGAUAUUCGCAAGAACACCAGUGGCGAAGGCGGCUCACUGGCCCGAUACUGACGCUGAGGUGCGAAAGCGUGGGGAGCAAACAGG